CAUUAAUGUGUUUAUUCAUUGGUGAUUGAUAGAAGUGGGAAAAAACAGAUUCAGCUGGAGGUUUUUGGUGCUGCAUCAUUUUUUUUCUUAUUGAAUAUUAAUACACAACAAAAUGUGGCCUAUUAAAACAAUUUUCAUUGUGUCUUUGAUACUGCUCAGUCAUAUUGUAACUCAAUCCACACUAUCUUCCUUCGUGAAAGAAGACAAAUGCGUCGAAGUGUGUAACAUGGGACAGAGACACAUUGACGAAUGCUGUGCGGCAUACGGAUACCAUCAAAACGGAUAUUGUUCACUUUUAUUUGGAAAGCAAGUGAGAUGUGAAAUUAAAGCUGAUAAUAAUUGAAGUCA